GCAUGUGUAUGCAUAUAUGUUUUGGCAUGGGGAAGUUGUUAGUUAUCCAUUGUGUACGGUUUUGUCGUUUUUCGAUGUUCUUUCGUUUUUACUGUGCAGUGCAAAUAGAAUACACGAAAACAGUUUAUUUCUACCCUUCGCCAAGGGUUCGAACGGAAGAUUAAAUAAUAAAUAUUAUUUAAAAAACAAAAUAUAUCAUUCAAGAGUUAUUUUAGUGUAAUUCAAUGUCGCGUCGGUAGCCAAAUUUUCCGAGUCCCACGAAUUAUACACGGCGCCUAUAUAUUUCUAGUAGCACAAACUCUCCAAUUAGCGGAAGCACUUGGUGUAAUUCUCAACAGCAAUAAAACAUCGUGCUAAAAAUGCACAACAAAUGUGAUUACAAACAAUUAACACUGACUAUUGGUGCAAAUCAAUGAGCCCAUACGUCACAUGCGUAUCACCACAUACAUUUAUACAGUUAUAUCCGCCUACUGUGAGCCUAACUGGAGCACAUUGGUAGCAAUUUAUGACACUCGGGCUUUGACUUGUUCCAUAUUCGUCGUUGAUUACAUGCAAUUUUAAACAUUGGAGGUGGAGGUACCUACUCGGGGGAAUAGAAUAUAAUCGCAAAAUAGAAAUUGCAAGAAAUCAAUUGGAAGCAGUACAGCGGCUGCAAUCAUCGCUCUUUUGAGCUAAACGUCAUAAUAAAUAUCACAUAUAAGUAGAUAUGUAAAGAAGCAAUAACAAAGCAUGUUAAGCGAAUAGAAAUAGUUUGAUAGCGUUUACUAAUUCAGUAUUAUUAUGAACUCGCUGUGCUGAGCAUGUGUUUGUUUCUCCUUCCUUAUCAGGAUUGUAUUGCUAAUUGUUAGCGCGUCACGAUAAGACGCUUGAGGCAAUAACUACUCAAAAAAUACACUACGUUAUCUCGCUGCCGAAAUAGCAGUACUGAAAAAAUAUGGACGAAGUAUUUUCACUACAUUUGGGAAAACUAGACAUUUUUGAUGUCUUCUUUCUUGCUGGCAUUCUCUCUUUGGUUAUACUUUUCUCAAUUUAAACUGGAUUCAACAACAAAUAAACAUGAACUGGACAUCAAUGGUUAAAAUUUGCUACAAAUUUAU